rnacentral:rRNA from 1 species
AAUGAACGCUGGCGGCGUGCUUAACACAUGCAAGUCGAACGAGAAACCCCGGCUUGCCGGGGGAGUAAAGUGGCGCACGGGUGAGUAACGCGUGGGUAAUCUACCCUCGAAUUGGGGAUAACACAUCGAAAGGUGUGCUAAUACCGAAUAAGACCACGAUGGCUUCGGCCAUUGGGGUCAAAGAUGGCCUCUGCCUGCAAGCUGUCGGUUGAGGAUGAGCCCGCGUCCCAUUAGCUUGUUGGUGGGGUAAGAGCCCACCAAGGCAACGAUGGGUAGCUGGUCUGAGAGGAUGGCCAGCCACACUGGAACUGGAACACGGUCCAGACUCCUACGGGAGGCAGCAGUGAGGAAUUUUGCGCAAUGGGGGCAACCCUGACGCAGCAACGCCGCGUGAGCGAAGAAGGCCUUCGGGUUGUAAAGCUCUGUCAAGCGGGAAGAAACUUUUCCGAAUGAACAGUUCGGAAAAUUGACGGUACCGCUGAAGGAAGCACCGGCUAACUCCGUGCCAGCCGCCGCUGUAAAAC